AGGGCACAGCCUCUGCGGAGAGUAGCAGGGUACAGUGAAUAACCCAGACACUAAAAAGCAAGGCAGCGGGGGUCCUACCAGCGCGGCUUUUGAUGACGUCGGUGAAUCCGUCCUCAGCGGCAUUUUCUGGGGUCUCCUGCAGACCCCUCAGCUGUGCCAUAACCAAACGCCACGUGCCUCAGCUUCCUCACGCCCCAAACUUUGGAAGGCAGGUCACAUGGAAUCUACACAUGGAAGGACAUAGGCAUUGCAUGCAGGUAUCCGGAAUCAUUGAUAUUGGUCUUAAAAUUUGGAAGUUUCCACUUUUGCUAAGCCAUGUGAGGACACAACAAGAAGGCAUCACCAAUGAAGAAUAGGCCUUCAUCAGACAUCCAAUCUGCAGGCCUCUUGAUCUUGGACUUCCUAAUCUACAGAAUUGUGAGUGAUAAAAUUCUGUUUUUUAUAAAUUACCCAUCCUAAAGUAUUUUUCUUAUAGCAGGCCAAAUUGAGACA
rnacentral:lncRNA from 10 species